rnacentral:rRNA from 1 species
AACGAACGCUGGCGGCAUGCCUAACACAUGCAAGUCGAACGAGAUCUUCGGGUCUAGUGGCGCACGGGUGCGUAACGCGUGGGAAUCUGCCCUUUGGUUCGGAAUCACAGUUGGAAACGACUGUUAACACCGGAUGAUGACUAAAGUCCAAAGAUUUAUCGCCAGAGGAUGAGCCCGCGUAGGAGUAGCUAGUUGGUGGGGUAAAGGCGCACCAAGGCGACGAUCCUUAGUUGGUCUGAGAGGAUGAUCAGCCACACUGGGACUGAGACACGGCCCAGACUCCUACGGGAGGCAGCAGUGGGGAAUAUUGGACAAUGGGCGAAAGCCUGAUCCAGCAAUGCCGGGUGAGUGAUGAAGGCCUUAGGGUUGUAAAGCUCUUUUACCCGGGAUGAUAAUGACAGUACCGGGAGAAUAAGCUCCGGCUAACUCCGUGCCAGCAGCCGCUGUAA